rnacentral:rRNA from 14 species
GGGUAGUCGUAGCGAAAGCGAGUCUGAAUAGGGCGUUGUAGUGGCAGGAUCUAGACCCGAAGCGGAGUGAUCUAUCCAUGGCCAGGUUGAAGCGACGGUAAGACGUCGUGGAGGACCGAACCCACUUCAGUUGAAAAUGGAGGGGAUGAGCUGUGGGUAGGGGUGAAAGGCCAAUCAAACUGGGAAAUAGCUCGUACUCCCCGAAAUGCAUUUAGGUGCAGCGUUGAUUUAUAGUUUUAUAGAGGUAGAGCUACUGAUUGGAUGCGGGGGCUUCACCGCCUACCAAUUCCUGACAAACUCCGAAUGCUAUAAAAUGUUAAUCAGCAGUGAGGGCAUGGGUGCUAAGGUCCAUGUCCGAGAGGGAAAGAACCCAGAUCAUCAGCUAAGGCCCCCAAAUGUAUGUUAAGUUGAUCAAACGUUGUGCGAUUGCAUAGACAGCUAGGAUGUUGGCUUGGAAGCAGCCAUUCAUUUAAAGAGUGCGUAACAGCUCACUAGUCGAGCGGUUCGGCAUGGAUAAUAAUCGGGCAUAAACAUAUUACCGAAGCUAUGGACUUGAAAAAGUGGUAGGGGAGCAUUGUAGUGGCGUUGAAGGUGUGUUGUGAGGCAUGCUGGAGUAGCUACAAAAGAAAAUGUAGGCAUAAGUAACGAUAAUGCGGGCGAGAAACCCGCACUCCGAAAGACUAAGGUUUCCUCAGCUAUGCUAAUCAGCUGAGGGUUAGUCGGGGCCUAACGCGAACCCGAAAGGGGUAGUGGAUGGACAACAGGUUAAUAUUCCUGUACCUGCUCACACUAAAAGUGACGGAGGCGAAUAGUUAGUGCGCACAGACGGAAUUGUGCGUUGAAGGGAACAGUAAUGUCCUGAUAGUACACUAAGACUACGGUCGCGGUGAUAAUCUAGCGAAUCGACUUCCAAGAAAAGCGAGUGAAGCAGCCCGUACCCUAAACCGACACAGGUAGUUGGGAUGAGAAUUCUAAGGAGCUCGAGAGAUUCAUGGCUAAGGAACUAGGCAAAAUAGACGCGUAACUUCGGGAGAAGCGUCGCCCAUCGUAAGAUGGGCCGCAGUGAAAAGAUCCAAGCGACUGUUUAUCAAAAACACAGGGCUCUGCUAAAUCGAAAGAUGAUGUAUAGGGCCUGACACCUGCCCGGUGCUGGAAGGUUAAG